rnacentral:tRNA from 1 species
GGGGUUGUGGCUCAGUGGUAGAGCUCUUGCUUAGAACAUGUGAGGCACUGGGUUUGAUUCUCAGCACCCUA